rnacentral:rRNA from 1 species
AACGUAGGAGACGAACGUUAUCCGGAGUUACUGGGCGUAAAGGGCGUGCAGGCGGUCUGAUAAGUUCGGCGUGAAAUAUUCCGGCUUAACCGGGAUAGGUCGUCGGAGACUGUCGGACUAGAGGGUGAUAGAGGCGUGUGGAAUUCCGGGAGUAGUGGUGAAAUGCGUAGAGAUCCGGAGGAACACCAGUGGCGAAGGCGACACGCUGGGUCACACCUGACGCUAAAGCGCGACAGCAUGGGGAGCGAACGGG